CAGCAAACUUAAUGAUGGUGUUGGAGUCGUGUUUGGCCACGCAGUCAUGGGUGAACAGGGAGUACAGCAGUGGACAAAGCACGCACCCCUGAGGGACCCCAGUGUUGAAGAUCAGUGUAGCAGAUGUGUUGUUGCCUACCCUUACAACCUGGUGGCGGCCUGUCAGGAAGUCCAGGAUCUAGUUGCAGAGGGAGGUGUUUAGUCCCAGGGUCCUUAGCUUAGUGAUGAGCUUUGUGGGCACUAUGGUGUUGAACGCUGUGUAAGUGUUGUUACAUAGAUGCUGUGUUCACGAUGCAUGAUUAAUACAUAAUUCAAGGUUUAUUUGAUGUAGUAAAUAAAUAAAUGAUUUAUUGAUGUAUAGAUAAGAAUUUAAAUGUGAUGUAACAUGUAAAUUAACGUUAGGCCAUUGUCUGUGUUUUUAUGUUCCAUCCCGGAACUAACGUUCUCUGUUGUGUUACUGCUACGGAAUUUGUUAAUUGACUGUGUGCAAUCUAACUUAAGCAGAUCAUAGUCUGAGUCAUAAUUGUUGAUGGCAGAGGCUAAGAAAGACAGUAAAGGGACUUUCAAGGGACUUUAAGAAUUCAAGAACCUCUUUUCAGGACAAGCAGCCAACGAGUUCUCACGGCGUGACGUGGAUGCAUCGGAGAAAAAGACGUGCAAUGCAAUAAACGCCCGUUUCAA